CACGACCGUACCGCAAACCGACACUGGUGCGCGAGAUGAGUAUUCUAAGGCGCUUGAGAGAACUCUGGAGAAGGAACUCGGCAAAUUGACACCGUAACUUCGGAAGAAGGUGUGCCUUUAGUAGGUGAAGUCCCUCGCGGAUGGAGCCCAAUGAGGUUGCAAAAAAUCGGUGGCUGCGACUGUUUAAUAAAAACACAGCACUCUGCAAAGACGAAGGUCGACGCAUAGGGUGUGACGCCUGCCCGGUGCUGGAAGAUUAAAUGAUGGGGUGCAAGCUCUGGAUUGAAGUCCCAGUAAACGGCGGCCGUAACAAUAACGGUCCUAAGGUAGCGAAAUUCCUUGUCGGGUAAGUUCCGACCUGCACGAAUGGCGUAACGAUGGCCACACUUCUCCUCCAGAGACUCAGCGAAGUUGAAAUGUUUGUGAUGAUGCAAUCUCCCCGCGGAAAGACGGAAAGACCCCAUGAACCUUUACUGUAGCUUUGUAUUGGACUUUGAACAGAUCUGUGUAGGAUAGGUGGGAGGCUUUGAAGCAGGGUCGCUAGAUCUUGUGGAGCCAACGUUGAAAUACCACCCUGGUGUGUUUGAGGUUCUAACCUAGGUCCAUUAGCUGGAUCGGGGACAGUGCAUGGUAGGCAGUUUGGCUGGGGCGGUCUCCUCCCAAAGCGUAACGGAGGAGUUCGAAGGUACGCUAGGUACGGUCGGACAUCGUGCUAAUAGUGCAAUGGCAUAAGCGUGCUUAACUGCGAGACUGACAAGUCGAGCAGAUGCGAAAGCAGGACAUAGUGAUCCGGUGGUUCUGUAUGGAAGGGCCAUCGCUCAACGGAUAAAAGGUACUCUGGGGAUAACAGGCUGAUACCGCCCAAGAGUUCAUAUCGACGGCGGUGUUUGGCACCUCGAUGUCGGCUCAUCUCAUCCUGGGGCUGUAGCCGGUCCCAAGGGUAUGGCUGUUCGCCAUUUAAAGAGGUACGUGAGCUGGGUUUAAAACGUCGUGAGACAGUUUGGUCCCUAUCUUCCGUGGGCGCUGCAGAUUUGAGGAAGCCUGCUCCUAGUACGAGAGGACCGGAGUGGACACACCUCUGGUGUAUCGGUUGUCACGCCAGUGGCAUUGCCGAGUAGCUAAGUGUGGAAGAGAUAACCGCUAAAAGCAUCUAAGCGGGAAACUCGUUUCAAGAUGAGAUCUGCCGGGGCCUUGAGCCCCCUAAAGAGUCGUUCAAGACCAGGACGUUGAUAGGUCAGGUGUGGAAGCGCAGUAAUGCGUUAAGCUAACUGAUACUAAUUGCUCGUGCGACUUGACCG
rnacentral:rRNA from 1 species